rnacentral:rRNA from 1 species
GAUGAACGCUGGCGGCGUGCUUAACACAUGCAAGUUGAGCGAAGCGCUUACGACAGAGCCUUAGGGGGAAGUUGUAAGGGACUGAGCGGCGGACGGGUGAGUAACGCGUGGGUAACCUGCCUCAUACAGGGGGUUAACAGUUGGACACGGCUGCUAUCACCGCAUAAGGGCACAGUAUCGCAUGAUACGGUGUGAAAAACUCCGGUGGUAUGUGAUGGACCCGCGUCUGAUUAGCUAGUUUGAGGGGUAACGCCCCACAAAGGCGACGAUCAGUAGCCGGGCAGGGAGGGUGAAAGACGACAUUUGAGCUGCGACACAGACCACACUCCUAGGGGAGGCAGCAGAGGGAAAUAUUUCAAAAUGAGGGAGAAACUGAUGCAGCGACGCCGGGUGAAGGAAGAAGUAUCUCGGUAACGAAACUGCUAUCAGCAGAGAUGAAAGUGACGGUACUGGACUAAGAAGCCCCGGCUAACUACGUG